rfam:Burkholderia fungorum strain ATCC BAA-463 chromosome 1, complete sequence.
AACCAGAGUAGAAGCGGCUAGCGAGCCGGCACGCGAGUGCCGGUCACCGUGGGGCAUUGCUCUUGGG